rnacentral:rRNA from 1 species
AGCGAACGCCGGCGGCAGGCCUAACACAUGCAAGUCGAACGAAGUCUUCGGACUUAGUGGCGGACGGGUGAGUAACACGUGGGAACGUGCCUUUAGGUUCGGAAUAACUCAGGGAAACUUGUGCUAAUACCGAAUGUGCCCUUCGGGGGAAAGAUUUAUCGCCUUUAGAGCGGCCCGCGUCUGAUUAGCUAGUUGGUGGGGUAAUGGCCCACCAAGGCUACGAUCAGUAGCUGGUCUGAGAGGAUGUCCAGCCACAUUGGGACUGAGACACGGCCCAAACUCCUACGGGAGGCAGCAGUGGGGAAUCUUGCGCAAUGGGCGAAAGCCUGACGCAGCCAUGCCGCGUGGAUGAUGAAGGUCUUAGGAUUGUAAAAUCCUUUCACCGGUGAAGAUAAUGACUGUAGCCGGAGAAGAAGCCCCGGCUAACUUCGUGCCAGCCGCCGCCGUAACAC